rnacentral:rRNA from 1 species
UACGUAGGGACCAAGCGUUGUCCGGAAUCAUUGGGCGUAAAGAGCGUGUAGGCGGCUUGUUAAGUCUUGCGUGAAAUCUCGGGGCUCAACCCCGAGCGGUCGUGAGAAACUGGCAGGCUAGAGUGCGGGAGGAGGAGAGUGGAAUUCCUGGUGUAGCGGUGAAAUGCGCAGAUAUCAGGAGGAACACCGGUGGCGAAGGCGGGUCUCUGGGCCGAUACUACGUGAGGAGCGAAAGCGUGGGGAGCGAACAGG